GAUGAACGCUGGCGGCGUGCCUAAUACAUGCAAGUCGAGCGGACGGACGAGAAGCUUGCGUCCCUGAUGUUAGCGGCGGACGGGUGAGUAACACGUGGAUAACCUACCUUUAAGACUAGGAUCACUUCGGGAAACCGGAUCUAAUACCGGAGGUUAUUUUGAACGGCGUGGUUUAAAAAUGAAAGACGGUCUUGGUUUCACUUACAGCUGAUUCCCUGCUUCAUUAGGUAGUUGCUAAGGUAACGGGUUACCAGGGCAACGAUGGAUAGCCGAACUGAGAGGGGGAUCGGCGACAUGGGAGCGGGGACAGGCACCAUGCUCCUACGGGAGGCAGCAGUAGGGAAUCGUCCGCAGAGGGCGAAAGCCUGACGGAGCAACGCCGCGUGAGUGAUGAAGGUCUUCGGAUCGUAAAACUCUGUUAUUAGUGAAGAACAUAUGUGUAAGGAACUGUGCACAUCGUGACGGUAACGAGUCAGAAAGCCACGGCUAACUACGUG
rnacentral:rRNA from 1 species